CAAGAUGGCUGCCAGGUGCGGUGGCUAAACCUGGGGACAUCUGAAGCCGGUGCCGACCAUCAGGGCCGAGUUUCGACGAGAGAGUGUGUCGAUGUUAAGAUAUUAAGCCGAGUUGGCCAGGUCCCUAAGUCUUGGAUGGCGAGCUGUAGAUAGGCCUUGAGCCCGAGCCCAAGGAUCUCCACCUCUCAACCCCUGAACUCCACUUGCUCUGGUCGGGCCGGUAGGCGGCCUUAUAGCCGAACCCCUUGCCUCGCACCUCAUUACUCUGCGGCCCUUUGCACUACCUCAUACACACCCUGCCCAUAAACUGAACUCUCACUACAAACUGCCGUAUCCACAACCCCAACCCGUGUGGCUGUAUGAACUGUGAAUGCGCAUAUGGACUGUGAUCAGUCUCAUAUGACUCCUAUGAACUUUAAGAACUUUUGAUACUACCUUGUAUGAAUUACCUGAACUCUUAAUCAAUGAACUAAACCAACAUUGUUUGAGAUUUUUUUGUUUUUUUCUUUUGUUUUGAAUGGCCAUUCCUAUCAAUGUCUGUCCACUAUUUGUUGCACUGUACAUAUUUAAAUAACACCAGUAUCAUUUAAAGCAUUUAAUUGUGUCUGUCCUAAUCUCUCCGAGUCGUAAUCUAGACUUCUGAUUAGCCAAAUAUUGAGAACUUCUACUAUACUAGCUAAAGUACCUGUUACAUGCGCACGCAGAAACAUUCGUGAGGGAGGGGCAGAGACAUAGAGCGAGAGAGCUAGUGAGUGGAGAGACAGACAUGAAAACAAGAAAUGCUGAAACGUAAAUGCAACUUCACGGAUGAU